GUCAGUGUGAUACUCAAACACGUCACUAGAUGACGCACAGCGCUGCGGAGGAACGUCAACGACAGAACUCCUGCGGUUGAGCUGAACGCUGAAGCGUUCUACACACAGAUCAUCAGAGUCAGGUGUUAGACCAAUAGGCUGGACUACGCUGAGAAGAAUAAGUGGAGGUGCCAGUGAUUGUCACAUGAUUCCUGCUACUCUAUGAAGAUCGACCUAAUUGGCAUCUUCUAGGUACAUGCUGACAGAAGUUGGGUUUAAAGGAUUUCUCUUCCACAGUCCAUGACUCGGAGCUCCAGGCCCAAACAGAUGACCACGCAGGCCUUGUUGCUGUAAUGAUGUCAGUAGUUUAACCGUGUCUCCAUUACCUAACAUAGUGCUGCAGAGGAAGCCAGAUAUUUCCUCUGCUGUCCAGGGCAAAGCAGGAGCACAGGUAUUAAACCUCAAGCAGUGAAGCGCCACACAGGGGGCUGCAAACAUUCCUCCUCCCUGCUGAUGAGCCUUCACUUCGCCGCCCUGCCCGCCAGUGUUGUAAGUAGUCAUGCAAAGAAACCUGGUGGCGCAGCUAGUCAGCCUUCAAAUUAUUGCCAGGGCAGUCUGUAUUCGAGCUGUCAACGUCUCUCAACAUCUCAGUUUCUUCUGCAUAAAUCAACUUAACAUGUUUUUAAAUCCCCUUCCUCCUCACUUGUAAACAUUACUUUGUUUGUAUGAGCGGAGAGUAAGCAUUGAGGUGAACAAGGCAUGGCGUGAUUGUGAAUGACCGAGCGAAAUCUAUCCUCCAGAGAAUAAUGUAUACCCUGGGCGCUGAAUGGUUUUGAUUAUGAAACAAUCUGUUACUCACGUUGCACGGUUCAUGGCAAAAGCCUGCAAACAUCCUGCCAUAUAUCAAACAACCCUCUGAAUCUGCUUGGCCAGUCACAGAUGUCCAAAUGGCUCUUUCAUCCUGUUUGUCUGGAAAUGUAUCUCUGAUUUACUCUGGUGGCUAAAUUAUAGGCACAUAUGUUUAUAUCCACAAGCUGUGAUUGAUUAUUUUGUUAAGCGUUUUGUCCCUGAGGCAGUUUUUAGUAAUAUGGAAAUGUUGUGCUGCGGCGUAAUGAAAUGCAUUUAUUUUAUGUCUUUAUUCAGAAACCUUUAUGUUUAAAUAUCUAAGCACAAGCUUGAUAAAAAAUAUCACUCUUCAUAGUGUAAUAACACACAUUUCUUCUCUAUAUUAGUUUUGUUCCUGCUGUUUUUGCUGUGCACCUUUCAUCAGUAGAGAAACAGCGUUUAGCCAUCAGGAUGCUGUUUAGUAGACAGUGAUUGAUGGUGUGUUUUGGUCAUGAUGAAAGGAGGUCGAAGCCACAAGGGUCACAUUCUUCUCCUUUAGUCUGAGGAUCUUUA